UAUUUCUUCAAGUGCAACAAAUAUCGAGGUGAGAUUUAAAGUUAUGCGUCCAUUAUGGGGCGACGUCAUGAAGUACGACCGUUUUACAAAUACCUGGUCGAAACCGUAUACACCUCAUAUCUUCCGAUACGAGAAAGCCACUGGUCGCACAUUUACUCUUAGUGGUAAUCUUUGGUGGGAGGCAGUUAUGAGAGUAACUGAUGAAUACCAUGAGGAAACAAAUGAAAUGGGUGAAGUUUAGAAAGAUAUCGCCAGCGGAAGUAAUGAUUGGGAAACGUUCUGUUAACAUAGAACAAAUAAGUCAUCGCUGAACUAAGUGAUAAUUGACCUUACCUGAGAUUGAGUGUAACUGUAAAUACAACGUAUAAAUCAUCAUUAUUCAAAUGAUGGAGACAGCAAUGACUCUCACAUAAUGAUUUUUAAGAAAAUAGUUUUCUUUGGACAAUUAUCUUAUACCAGUAUGCUUUUGUGUAUAAUGUAAUAAUUAAAUAGUAAUUUUU